AUACGGAGGGUCCAAGCGUUAUCCGGAAUCAUAGGGCUUAAAGGGUCCGCAGGCGGUCAAUUAAGUCAGAGGUGAAAGCCCAUCGCUCAACGAUGGAACUGCCUUUGAUACUGGUUGACUUGAGUUAUACGGAAGUAGAUAGAAUAAGUAGUGUAGCGGUGAAAUGCAUAGAUAUUACUUAGAAUACCGAUUGCGAAGGCAGUCUACUACGUAUAUACUGACGCUGAGGGACGAAAGCGUGGGGAGCGAACAGGAUUAGAUACCCUAGUAGUCC
rnacentral:rRNA from 1 species